rnacentral:lncRNA from 1 species
GCUGCCGCUUGCCGCUCCACAACUUCCUGGAGCUGCUCGAACCGAGCCUCCUGGCGCUGCAUCGCGCCCAACAUUGCAGCGACCUGCUCCCGCAGCUCCUGCACCUCCUCCGAUCUUGGCUGCUCGGGCUCCGCAGAAGGCGGCACCGGAGCAGACCUACGCGCAUAACGCCUUGGGGACAUUUGCUCCUGAAAAGCAACAACUCGGUUAGUUAUCUCAAUCCGAUAACCUUGCAACGUUCGCGAAUUUAAACGACUCAAUAGUAAAAUCAGGCGGAAGCUCGCAAGUGCUCUAGUGUCGGACUCUUAGCGUUGCGUCGUCGGCCGCCGACACAACCACUACGAGCCAAGAACUAGUGUCACUUGGAUCCGUCUCUAUUCACAGCUAGAGACACAACAUCAACCUGACCCAAUCACUCAACUCCCGCCACCGCCAUGGGUUCACGUUCACUCACGUCCCUAUAACCUUAGGGUUUACCAACUUAGGGUCUCCUAGGUUAUCCUAGACUCUCUCUUUACUUGCUCUGGUGCUCUGAUACCACUUUAUCUGUCACGCCCCGCGACCGCUACCAAUUUGGUCCGGCCCCGGGCGCGUCGAACAGACGCCGAACGGACAGGACCUCCCCUGUCCGUCCAAGGCUAACCAACAGAUCAUGUAUAAGAAUUUACCUAGGAAUCAAUUCAUAAAUACACGAUCAAGAAGCACCACCAGUGCAACAAUCAAUAGCAAGAUACAAGUAUAGAAACAUAUACAAGUACAUAAGAGAGAAGAGGCUAUCCAUUACAUUCAUUUGAUUUACUACAUUUAAGUACGUCUUUUACAUUCUUCCAAAAAUAUAAGUACAAGCACUCAAACCUCUCCGUAUACAACAUCUACUCUCAAAUACAAAAAGGGUGACAGCUAAUGCAAAAGGGAGGUAGCUAAUGCGACUAGAGCGCCUUGCCCUUACCACGAUCCUCACGCUCACCGGGGACGCCCGAACUAGAACCUGUAAAGAGUGGGGUGAGAACUAACUUCCUUAGUUCCCAGUGGGUUCGGCCGCCGACUCCGCCGAUCUCCCCACUAGGUCCAAGCGGGCACAAGUAGAUAAUCGAUAGAUAGAUAGAUAAGGAAAGCGGUAAAUGACAGAAGUAAAGCUACGCUACUAUGCCCAAUCAUAAAUAUAUGAAUGCAUGUACAAUGAAAUAGAUAAACAACUAACCCAUUAUCAUGCCCAAAGGUAAAGCUAUUUACUCGUUCAUCAAUCUCAUUUACUUGUUUUUUAAUCUCGUGGCUUCCCUGAAGGAUCCAAAUUUUACUUGUUUCCUUAAUCUCGUGGCUUUCCUCGAUGUUGCGCCGCACCUUUUGCCAGACUCGGAAUUUGCAGGUUUGCAAAUUUCUGAUCCCUGCUCCAAUAAGGUCGUUUGAAUAACGAAGCGCCAUCAGCUGAGCCCGGGACCCUCGGGAAGCGACCACUUCGAAGUCCAGUAACGUCCAUCUCCAGCCCCUAGGUGUUUGCCGGGUAACAUCCAAAAGCGAGGGUUCUUCGCCGACUUUCUAGCUAAGGUCCAUCCCGACUACAUUUGCUUUAUCCGGGGUGUGAGAAUAUCGACAUCAUAAUCCUUUAAUAGCUCUAGCCACCGCCUUUGCCGCAUGUUUAGCUCCUUCUGGGUAAAUAAAUACUUCAGACUUUUGUGGUCGGUGUAGAUCUCACUGUCACCCCCCGCGACCGCCUAUUUGGUCGGUUUCGGGCAUGCCGACAGACCGCCGAACGGACAGGGUUUCCCCUGUACUGCGGGCAGAGUCUCCCCUAUACGUUCAAGGCAUAGCAAUCAAUACAAUAUGCGAAGUUCCAACCAGGAACACAUUUCAAUCAAGAUUGCAUAAUGGAAGGUAUCAAACAACAUAAACACAUCCUAUAUUAUUACAUUCAUUCAUAUUCAUGCAUUUUACACCUCAACUACCAUUCCUUUUUCAUUCAAAUGCAAUCUAAAUUAUUACAACAUUUAUAUCUUUAAUACAUCAUGUUACAUUGUGUUUUUUUCAUUUCUUUAACCCCUAAGCUAUGUCGACGGGGUACUGCUAGCUCUGGUCUCUAGGGUAGGGCGCUAUCUACGGAGAUACGCCCUUUCCUCGCGCCGCCGCGCCGCUCACGUGCGAACCUGUAAACACCCCAAAACCACGUGGGGUGAGAACCAACUCCAUGGUUCCCAGUGGGUACGGCCACCCAAGGGAAAAGCUCGACUAAUAGGUCCAAGGGAGGCAACUGCAAGUUAGUUCAAUAAACAGAUAGCUAUAUAUCUUGAUUAUGCAACGAAUAAAACCAUGCAUUGCCUCACGAAUGCAAUAAUGCAAUGCUAUAUGCAAAUCAUGCAAUAAUGCAACUAUGCAACAAACUAGUAGUUCAUUCGAUACUACUUUCAAUUCUGCUAACCAUAGCUCAUCCGUUUGAUAUCUAAGGUUUCCUUUAUCUUAGAUUCUUGUCAAUCACCGUUUUAAUCAUAAAGUUUCAUCUACCUUUACAAGGCUAACCACCCGACUCGGUCUUGAGUUAAUCGUCUGCGGAGUACCGCACUAGAACAAGGCUCGAGGCGAUGGACGUCUCACUUACACCUCAGCCCUAAAUCCUCUCGACUAGGAUACCAAAUCCAUAACUCAUAAUGCAUACUUGUUUUACAUUCAUUUAGCUAUGACCCAAUCUUACCGGUUAACCAUGUUAACCCCAAUAACUCACCACCAAAAUCCCUUAAUAACGGGGGACUCGAACCUCCCUGGGGACCGUCAUCUGGGGGGACUUUACCACGCCCAGUGGUGACCAACUCCGGAGCGCACCGCCCGAGGGGUAGCUACCUCCCUCAAGCCAAGACGUAACGUGAGUAUCGAUCCAAUCCUCAACUUGAGGAUUCAUAGCCACUCGUUACAAUGCCAAUGUCAUGAUAGGUCUCUACCUAUUUAAUCAUGCAACUCUCUAUGUCAACUUGGACCAAUGUCAAUAUGGUUAAAUUAUAUUUAACAAUCACUUUCUUGAUGUCAAUCAUGUCUCUAUUGUCACUGUCACCUUUGUUUACUAAUGUUCAAGUCCAACUCUCACAUUUACACAAUAAUAGGGUCCUAACAUACAUGAAUGACACCAGAAUAUACAUGCUCAAUCACCACGAGUGUUUGCUAGGUUCAAGAUACUAGGUUUAAUGCCACUCGAUCUAAUAUAUAUAUAGAUUGUCUAUUACGUUUCACAACAUGGCAAUAUGUCAUCAAGUAUGUUUUUCUAUUUAACAUAAUCCACAAUAUGUAAAUUCAUAAUAUAUCAUCAUGCACAUAUACCACUAGCAUCACAUGAUAUGUCAACAUACAUAUAGUCAUUAUCCAAAAUAGUCCAUACUUAGCAUCUCAUGCAUUCUUUUAGCACUUAAUUCAUUAUGCAUUACAUUUAGCAUAUUCUACAACAUGUCAUCAUACAUUCCUUUUAUGAUGUUCUUAUAAUGCUAACAUUCAUACGCCCUUUAUAUUAUGCAUUCAAAACAUUAAUCAUAUGCAUUUCUAUAGUAUGUUAACAUGCAUUCUUUUCACAUUCUUAUAUUAUGUCAAUAUGCAUCAAUAUGAAAUCUCAUUUCUCUUAGACAUAUAGGCGACCUAGUCGCUUCGGUAAGUACAACCCACCUCAAAUCGCUUUCCGAUUGCUUGUCGACACUUACAAUCGGCCGCCCGCGGCACCCGGUACCCGGUUUGGCCCGAUCCCUCGCGCGACUACCUGAACGGCCUCCAAUUCACAAUCCGAAAAUUAAAGGUCUUCGGUUAUGUGCCACGAUGCUUCAAAUCCAUUUUCAUGAGUUUACGACAUCGGCUCGGCCCUCCAGGCGGAAACGAAGCCUAAACGUCCGUUUCUUUAAUAACUUCGCAACGGCUCGACGAAUCGCCGAACCGACUUCGCCAACGCGUUCGUUUACCUAGCAAUUAGGUUUACAUAGGGUCAAAAUAGAUCAAACCCAUCUAUUAGCAAAAAUUGCAUUUUGAACCCUAUGCUUCAUCUAUUGCAAGAAUUAAUUAAAUUGAUCCUAGAUGCUAGCAUUUAUCAUUUAUUUAGCAUGCUAGGAUCCCAAAUAAACCAUUUCUAUGGAUUAUAAAUGAAGCUUUAAAGAUCUACCAUGAGAGGGUUCAAAAAGCUCAUUUCAAGCCCUAGUUUACAACUAGACAAGAAAUCAUUAAAUCGAUCCGUGAUUUAAGCAACAAUCAUCUCUUUAGCAUGCUAGAUUAGCUCUAAAUCCAUUCUUGAAGCUUAAAACCCAAACUACAAAGAGAUACCAUUAAAGGGCAUCAAAGCUUACCUUGCAAGCAAGCUCCAAUGGAGAGAAAGAAGAUAAAAGAGAUGAAGAUCAACCUCCAAGCUUGCUUUUCCUCCAAUUUCAUCAAUUUUGGGAGAGAUUUAGAGAGAGAAAGGAGAGCUCUCUUCCUCCCUCUCCUUGCGUGUGUGUGGCGUGUGUGUGUGUGUGCAUUCGGCUGAGGAGAAGAAGAAGAAAAGGGAUUAAAUCCCUUUUUACAAAUCAGCCCCUCAACUUUUACACUAUUCACUCCCGGGCAGCUGUUUAGCAGUUCGGAACAGUUGGAGCCCUUCUAAAUGUCCAUUUGAGCUCAAAUUUGACAGGCAGGCUCAGUUUAAUGUACUGAGUAAGAAUAUAUCUUAAGUUUUCAUUUUCGACCCCAUUUGGUCACUGAAAACUGUGCCGAAUUGUAAUCUUUAUCAGAUAGCUGUCGGAUUUUAUUUCUCACUCUACGGGUGUCAGAAAAAUAUGAAACUUUAAAUCUAACCUCUAAAAAUAUUUCUGACUUAUCCUCCAAUUUUCAUAAUUUUCUGAUACUGUGCAUUUUCUGCUAAUUUAUCUGUCCCGUUUUCAACAAAAAAUUCUAGAUUUUCUGUUUUCAUUCUGAUUUCAGCAUAAGUCACUUUGACUUAUAUUUUACUUCUACAAAUCCAAUAAAAAUAGUUUAUCACACUAUUUUUAUUUAUUUUUAUUUUUAUAGCAAAAUCCGGUAUGUUACACUCGCAGUGUGCACCGUAUAGGUAAUGCCUCCACAACUUCAGCGCAAAGAUCACCGCCGCCAACUCCAAGUCAUGGAUGGGGUAAUUCUUCUCGUGGUCCUUCAGCUGACGGGAUACAUAAGCUAUCACUCUCCCGUCCUGCAUCAGGACACACCCCAAGCCCAGAUAGGAUGCAUCGCUAUAAACCACAAAGUCCUCGCCCUGCACCGGUAAGGCGAGUAUUGGAGCCGACGUCAAUCUUUUCUUCAACUCAUUGAAGCCUCGAUCACAUUCGUCGCUCCAAAUAAAUUUGACGCCCUUCUCAGUCAAACCGGUAAGCGGAGUUACAAUUUUUGAAAAGCCCUCCACAAACCGUCGAUAAUAGCCCGCUAAGCCUAUAAAGCUUCGGACCUCCGUGACGUUCGUCGGGCGUGGCCAAUUCUCGACCGCUUCGACUUUCCUCGGGUCAACCGAAACACCGCCCUCGAAAAUCACAUGCCCUAAGAAGGCAACCUCUCGAAGCCAGAAGUCACACUUCUUUAGCUUUGCGAAUAGCUUCUCCUCCCGAAGGAUUUGAAGCACCGUCCGCAAAUGCUCCGCGUGCUCCUCGUAGCUCCGCGAAUAGACCAAGAUGUCGUCUAUGAAGACCACGACAAAUCGGUCCAAGCACGCCUUGAACACACGGUUCAUCAGAUCCAUGAAUGCGGCCGGGGCAUUAGUGAGCCCGAAAGGCAUAACCGUGUACUCAUAGUGUCCAUAACGCGUGCGAAACGCGGUCUUCUGAAUAUCCUCCGGCUUGAUCUUUAACUGAUGGUAGCCGGAUUGUAGGUCUAUCUUCGAGUACACUCGUGACCCCUGCAAUUGAUCAAAUAAGUCGUCGAUUCGGGGUAACGGGUACUUGUUCUUUAUUGUGACCUUAUUCAACUCUCGAUAAUCCACGCAGAGUCGAAACGAGCCAUCCUUCUUGCGCACGAACAACACCGGCGCUCCCCACGGCGAUACGCUCGGCCGGAUGAACCCUUUGUCGAGAAGAUCUUGUAAUUGAUCCCUCAAUUCCCUUAACUCUGCCGGCGCCAUACAGUAUGGGGCUUUCGAGAUUGGCGCCGUCCCGGGAAUCAAGUCUAUAACGAACUCGAUCUCCCGAUCCGGCGGCAUCCCCGGUAACUCCGUGGGAAAUACAUCCGGAAAUUCCCGCACCACCGAUAAAUCUUCUAGUUUUGGUACCACCCGGUCCACCUCCACGACGGUCGCCAAAAAUGCCGCGCAACCGCCGCUGACCAACUUCCUAGCUCUCGUCGCCGAUACUGUCGCGACGAAGCAAGAACUCCGAUAAGCUCGAUAAACGAACUCCUUCUGUCCUGGCUCCCGAAAGGUGAUUGAUUUAUUCUUACAAUCAAUCGUGGCGUAAUACUUUGAGAGCCAGUCCAUGCCCAAAAUGACGUCAUACGCCUCUAGUUUAGUGAGUUCCAACAUCCGGAUGGGCAUUAUCCACUCACCUACUUGUACUGGGCAUGACGAGCACUCCGUAUAGGUAUUAAAUGAUGACUCGGGACCUCGACUCGCCACUUGCCACUUGCUUCUAUGGGUAUGUCAUGCAUGCGUGCAAAUGCUCUACUAAUAAAUGAGUGCGUGGCACCCGUAUCGAACAUAGCUCUGGAGCGAACUCCAUUGAUUAGAACCAUACCUGCCACAACAUCAGGCUCCUCGGCUUGGGCAGGCUCCUCGGCAUGGGCCUGAGCGGCGAAUACCCGUCCGCUCGGCGCUGAUCGAGUCACCUUCGGCUGGCGCGGCGCCAGAGCGCGUCCCGCUAAUACAGGAACAUACGGGGCCCCUCGUUGAUAAGGCGAGGGCACUGGAGUCGAUGCGACUGACGGAGUAGACGAGGCCCUUGCCGGACAGUCGCGGCUAACGUGUCCUUCUUGUCCACAAUUAAAGCACCGUCCUUGUCGUUGUCUACACUGCGGUGCCUGAUGACCUCGAUCUCCACAGAUAGGGCACCGUUGCGGCCCACGGCCCCACGACUGCGACCGCGGAUACUUGGGGGGCCUCCUCGAACUCGAUUGUCCCCCCGAACCGCCGCCCGAUCGCUUCCUCCCCUUGUCUUGGGAUCCAGUCAACGACUCAAGUUCUUCCCGCACGUGGGCAUCCCCAUGUUCCGCCCACAGCGCCUUGUUGAAAACCUCGGCGAAAGUUGUGAGCUGGAACAACUGCACCGCUCUAUAUAUCCAUGGCUGAAGUCCCCGCAAGAACCAUUCGGCCCAAUCCGCGUCGUCCUUAACCACGUCCGGGACGCAGUCUAUAAUGUGGGAGAAUUCCUGUUCGUAGUCUACCACCGAACGAUCCCCCUGUCUCAAUUUGCGAAACCUCUCCUUUAGCUUUCGCUUCUCGGUGUCGGGGAAAUAAUUCCCAAACAUCUCCUUCUUAAACUCCUCCCAGAGCAUUGGUGAAAGGUCAGAGAGUCGAUCCCGCUUCAACCGCUUCCACCACACCUUCGCCGCCUUUUCGAGGCAAUAGGUGGCGAGGGGCACCUUAUCCUUAGGUCCUCGAAGAGGGUCUCCAUAGAGUCAAUCCAAGACUCCACUGCCGACGGCUCCACCUUUUUCCCUUCAAAAGUUGGUGGUUUAAACUUCAUAAACUUCAUAAGAGCCACCAGCGCACAUUACCGCUCCACUUCGUCGGCCGUCGUGUCGAGGUGUCGCCGAACCCGAAGCUGUCGGAGGGCGCACUUGUCGGCGGGGGAACUGCCGCCAUCGGAACCGCCGCUAUGCCCUCACCCUCGGCCGCUACCGGCGUGCGUGCCGAAGGUGCGGGCGGAUCGCGAUCUCCUGCCGCCGUCGCGGCCGCCGCCGCUGCCGCUUGCCGCUCCACAACUUCCCUGGAGCUGCUCGAACCGAGCCUCCUGGCGCUGCAUCGCGCCCAACAUUGCAGCGACCUGCUCCCGCAGCUCCUGCACCUCCUCCGAUCUUGGCUGCUCGGGCUCCGCAGAAGGCGGUACCGGAGCAGACCUACGCACAUAACGCCUUGGGGACAUUUGCUCCUGAAAAGCAACAACUCGGUUAGUUAUCUUAAUCCGAUAACUUCCUCAAUGUUAACGAAAUUAAACGACUCGACAACGAAAUCGGGCGGAAGCUCACAAGUGUUCCAGUUCUGGACUCUUAGCGUCGCGUCGUCGGCCGCCGACACAACCACUAUGAGCCGAGAAACUAGUAUCACUUGAAUCCGUCUCUAUGCACGGCUAGAGACAUAGCACCAACUUCGACCCAAUCAAUCAACUUCCGCCAUCGCCAUGGGUUCACAGUCACUCACGUCCCUAUAACCUUAGGGUUUGCCAACCUAGGAUCUCCUAGGUCAUCCUAGACUCUCUCUUUACUUGCUCUGGUGCUCUGAUACCACUUUAUCUGUCACGCCCCGAGACCGCUACCAAUUUGGUCCGGCCCUGGGCGCGUCGAACAGACGCC